AUUGACCUUGGAUUUAUUUUUGAUGCGUUAGUUUUACAUCUUUUAUAGCAUUCAUCAACUCCUAUUCAUCACUGUUUAUUAUCUGUAGUCCACUAGUCCUUGUUUGUGCAAAACCACACCAAACUUAAUUUUAUAAAGACACUGACCAGAGCAGAACUUUAUUAUAUUGAAAAUUAAAAUAGCAAGUUAUAAACUAAUAUCCAUAUCAUAACAAGCUAGUCCUGCAUCAUAAAAUCAACAAAUUUCUUGAUCAAUACAUCCCUCUCACUGCUGGUUGUGAACAAGUGAAAGCAAUGUUCCUCCCCUUUGGUUUCAUAAAACUCCACUUUCCCACUCCACCCGCUGUUCCCCAAAAUUCUAUAAUAAUUUUCUCCUCUGAUUCUCAGCCAAUCUUUCUCUGCCACACACACCAACACUUUAUUGCACGCUAGUUUUGAUAAAUUCGGAUCCAUUGCCGGAUUCAAUUUCGGAUCAUCAUCACACCCGGAACUUGUUGGACACAUGUACUUGUACAUUUUAUCUUCCUCCUUGCCCCCGAAGAAUGGAUGCACAAUUAGUACGCCAGUUAUGUCUAAACCAGCUAAUCCAAUAGCACCAGCUUGGACUGCAACAUGGUGGGCUAUAUUUGCCCCAGCACUCUCCCCUACUAAAAAAACCUGCCCAAAAUCCAUAUGCUUGUUGAGCCAUGGUUCGGGCCCUAGACCGUUGGAGUGACUAGCAAUCCAUUGGAGACCAACCCAUGAAUCUUCAUAUCCAAUUGGUAGAGGGUGCUCUGGUGCUAACCUAUAGUCGAUUGAAAUGGCAAUGACAUUAGCCUGAGUAACCAAAGAAGUAAGAAAGUUCUUGGUCACAACAUCAAAUGGUGAUCCGAUGCAGAAACCUCCACCAUGGUAGUGGACGACGAGGGGCAAUUUUCGAUCUGGGUUGUGGAGCUUGGGGAUGAAGAUACGAGCCUUGACACCAGUCUCAAUCGAGACAAAAACAUCUUUAGAUUGUACCCCUGUUUCGGGGUCUGGGCCUGCAGGAACAUGGAGCAUGCUCAAGUACCUAUGUAUUCGACCAUCCUUGUAGACUUUGAAGAAGGGUGGAAAAUCAUGGGUUAUUUCACUAGCGCUUGAAUCCAUAUCAAUAUUGGAAAACAGAGAGAGGUGAGACGUGGGAGUUAUUGAGAAGUUUGUGUGGCUGUGAUAAGGAGCAAACCAGCUCGUCAUGGAAUUCCAGGAAUAAAACUGGUGGGUGAAACAGGGACUGACAGCUAUAACGAGGAUUUUUCUGGCCCAGAAAAGAAAAUGUGGCACCUCGUCUGCAAGUCAGCAAGAGGUAGUUGAUGGUACCUGUUUACCAAAAAGAGACACUCGUA
rnacentral:misc_RNA from 1 species